GUUAGCUACAGGCUUAACACAUGCAAGUCGAGGGGCAGCAUUUCAGUUUGCUUGCAAACUGGAGAUGGCGACCGGCGCACGGGUGAGUAACACGUAUCCAACCUGCCGAUAACUCGGGGAUAGCCUUUCGAAAGAAAGAUUAAUACCCGAUGGUAUAAUCAGACCGCAUGGUCUUGUUAUUAAAGAAUUUCGGUUAUCGAUGGGGAUGCGUUCCAUUAGGCAGUUGGUGAGGUAACGGCUCACCAAACCUUCGAUGGAUAGGGGUUCUGAGAGGAAGGUCCCCCACAUUGGAACUGAGACACGGUCCAAACUCCUACGGGAGGCAGCAGUGAGGAAUAUUGGUCAAUGGGCGCAGGCCUGAACCAGCCAAGUAGCGUGAAGGAUGACUGCCCUAUGGGUUGUAAACUUCUUUUAUAUGGGAAUAAAGUUUUCCACGUGUGGAAUUUUGUAUGUACCAUAUGAAUAAGGAUCGGCUAACUCCGUGCCAGCAGCCGCGGUAAUACGGAGGAUCCGAGCGUUAUCCGGAUUUAUUGGGUUUAAAGGGAGCGUAGGUGGACAGUUAAGUCAGUUGUGAAAGUUUGCGGCUCAACCGUAAAAUUGCAGUUGAUACUGGCUGUCUUGAGUACAGUAGAGGUGGGCGGAAUUCGUGGUGUAGCGGUGAAAUGCUUAGAUAUCACGAAGAACUCCGAUUGCGAAGGCAGCUCACUGGACUGCAACUGACACUGAUGCUCGAAAGUGUGGGUAUCAAACAGGAUUAGAUACCCUGGUAGUCCACACAGUAAACGAUGAAUACUCGCUGUUUGCGAUAUACAGUAAGCGGCCAAGCGAAAGCAUUAAGUAUUCCACCUGGGGAGUACGCCGGCAACGGUGAAACUCAAAGGAAUUGACGGGGGCCCGCACAAGCGGAGGAACAUGUGGUUUAAUUCGAUGAUACGCGAGGAACCUUACCCGGGCUUAAAUUGCAUUUGAAUAUAUUGGAAACAGUAUAGCCGUAAGGCAAAUGUGAAGGUGCUGCAUGGUUGUCGUCAGCUCGUGCCGUGAGGUGUCGGCUUAAGUGCCAUAACGAGCGCAACCCUUAUCUUUAGUUACUAACAGGUCAUGCUGAGGACUCUAGAGAGACUGCCGUCGUAAGAUGUGAGGAAGGUGGGGAUGACGUCAAAUCAGCACGGCCCUUACGUCCGGGGCUACACACGUGUUACAAUGGGGGGUACAGAAGGCAGCUACCUGGUGACAGGAUGCUAAUCCCAAAAGCCUCUCUCAGUUCGGAUCGAAGUCUGCAACCCGACUUCGUGAAGCUGGAUUCGCUAGUAAUCGCGCAUCGGCCAUGGCGCGGUGAAUACGUUCCCGGGCCUUGUACACACCGCCCGUCAAGCCAUGAAAGCCGGGGGUACCUGAAGUACGUAACCGCAAGGAGCGUCCUAGGGUAAAACUGGUAAUUG
rnacentral:rRNA from 1 species